GACGAACGUUGGCGGCGUGCUUAAUACAUGCAAGUCAACUGAAGCAGUGGUAGCAAUAUCGCUGUGGAGGUGGCGCACGGGUGAGUAACACGUAGGUAAUCUGCCUUCAGGUCUGGCAUAGCUCCGGGAAACCGGGGCUAAUAGCAGAUGAUGCAGCGGCUCGACAUCGAGACAGUUGUUAAAGCUAUGGCGCCUGAAGAUGAGCCUGCGUCUGAUUAGCUAGUUGGCGGGGUAACGGCCCACCAAGGCAACGAUCAGUAGCUGGUCUGAGAGGAUGAUCAGCCACACUGGAACUGAGACACGGUCCAGACUCCUACGGGAGGCAGCAGUAAGGAAUAUUGCUCAAUGGGUGAAAUCCUGAAGCAGCAACGCCGCGUGAGGGACGAAGGGCUUUUGCUUGUAAACCUCUGUAGUGAGAGAAAAAAAUCCCAAUCUUUGGGACAUGAUGGUAUCUCAAAAGUAAGCCCCGGCUAACUACGUG
rnacentral:rRNA from 1 species